rnacentral:lncRNA from 1 species
UCCAAACACGCCUUAAAAGAAAGAACAAGUAUCACAACCAGAUUUGAUGGCAAAUGAAUUCCUACUCAAAAAGAUUAUGCGGAAUCCCGAGAAUAUAUGAGUUAUCUACAAAAUCAACAAAAGAAAAUAGAUGAGUCAGCAGGUUCCUCAUCGGAUUUCACUUUUGAUCCAUUCGGUGGGUCAUGCGCAUAAAAUCCGAAUAACGUCUAAACAAAAGGUAUUGGUCAAUUUCAAAAAAAGAUAAGAUGCAAUCUCCAAAACACCAAUCAAAAGAACAUAAGAAUGUCGGCAUGCAAAAUCAAAUGAACCUGACAUGCAAGUGUCGAUUUAAUGAAAUUCAAAUAUAAUAUUCUGAUAACUAUAAAUAACCCUCAAAAAGAGAAAGGAGGAGCAUCGAGUAUUUAAGAAAGAAAGUGUUUUAAAACCACCUCCCAAAAAAAAACCACCUUUGUGCUCAAAUUCAUAUGGAUAGCAAUUUUUUUCAGAGUUUUGAAAAUUUUUGUAAAAAAAAAUUACUAUAGCAUUUUUUCGAGACGUAUUGUAUGUGAGAUGAAAAAAAAGUCAAGCAAUAAGUUAAAAAAAUAGUUUCAAAAAAUCUAAAAAUAGAAAAUUCCAAGAAGAUACAAACCAAACAAGGCCUGAUCUUGCACUUACUAUUAGAUAUGAUAAUGUCUUCACCCAAUCCAUUUUUUUUAUCAUACACAGACAGAUAAAUAAAUAAAAUAACUAAACUAGAGGAUGACUCUAUAAGAAGUUUUUGACAAGAAGGCAUAACGGUAAAAAGAUAAAAUUGAAGCCAACUUUGCAAUAAGUCAAAGCUUAACACUAGCAAAAGGCUAGGCAUUUUUCAUUUGUUUGAAUCAUGGGAGAAGCCGUAGCAAUUUGUUAAAAGUCUAAAAUGGACGAGACGACAUUGAGCAAAUGAAGAAAAUGAUAGUGUUGCAACAUUUCCAUAUCAAAAAAUUGCAUAUAGUUGACAUUUAGCUCAAAUCACAAUAGAGAAGUAUGUUUUUACAUUUUGUCAUGGAUGAUGUAUGUGAGAAAAUCAAAACCCCUAUAUUUUCUAUUUCUUUCUUUUUUUUUGUUGAAAAUUCUAAGCCCUUAAUUUUCAAAUGCGAAAUCAUGGUCCUAUCAUUUUUUUUCCCUUUUUUUGAAAAGAAAUUAUGGUCCAAUCUAACAGGAAAUUUCCUCAAGUGCAUCAUCUUUAAUGUCGAAGCUUUAAAAAUUUAAGCUUCUGGAAUAGUUGUAACUGUCAAUGACGUGCCAAAUUAAUCUCAUCCUAAUUAAAAAAAAAAAAAACAAAUUAAUCAUCUUACUCAAUUGAGUUUAUUUUUAGCACACACAAAAAUAUAUAUAUAUAUAUAUAUAUAUAUUAAACAAUAAUGUCACAACCACCAACCCCCACCUCCCCAUUUAUACCACCCUUGCUGACCAGCCCAUCCUUCCCCUCAUUAUUUUCAUCCCUCUAUCCUCUUCUCUAUCUACUACUGCUAUAGAGCAACAGAAUUCUCCUCCAGAACUUCUCCAUAAUUCCAGCAAGAAUCGCUCUUACAGAAUCUUAGGAAGCUACAGAAAGAAACCAAAGAUGCAGAGAAUUACUCAAGAGUUCGAAAAGCACCUGAAGCUCAACGAAGACGAUGGUAAAGAAAACGAACAAGAAAUAGAAUCCCACGGUGAAGAUUACGAUGAUGAUGAAGACGAAGAUGAUUUUUCUUUUGCAUUCAAUGGCGUAAAUUUCUCAGCUGAGGACGCGUUUGAUAACGGUCAGAUCAGGCCGGUUUACCCCUUGUUCAACCGGGAUAUUCUGUUGGGUGGUGGUGUUGGUGACGGGCAGGAUUUGGAGACUUUAAGGUUGAAAGAUAGUUUGCCCUAUGUUAAAAACGUGUUUGUAGAAGCUGAGGAUUGGAUGAAAUCUCAAUCUUUAUUUUUGAUCAGUACCUUUGUUUAAAGAAAUAGUGAACUACUGAUCCUGGCGAGAGCAAAGAAGCAUUUACUUUUCGUCCAAGGAUGGGUUAGGCAGGCCCGUGAAAUACUGGUACAAAUACUGUAGGUGUAGGACUGAAUCUUGGGAAAUAAGACAUCUUACUUAGACUGAUCUGGAUUCUGAAAUAUGGAUAACCUACACCUGGAAUUGGUCGGCCUGAGUUGUGGAUUGACUUUAUUCUGGUUCGGUAAACUAGGUUGCCAUAUGAUUGUCGGAGAGAAUUUUGAGUGAGCGAGACCGUUAGAUUUGGCACUAAUAAGGUGAUAAUCUAGGAUCUGAAGUGAUUUUGGUCAACUUGAGUAUUGUUUCAUUGUCACAAGGGCUGACAUAUGAAAAGAUGUCUGAUGUGAAGAUGGGAAUUGAUUUCAGACUGUAGUGAUAGGAUUGUUCAAUGCGAGAUGUGUUUUGAAAUGGAUCAAAAUGUUGCUUAGUAAGCUUUUAUUUUCCUUCCAUUAUCUAGGGCACUUCAUGUAGCAAUUUUAAAUUGUGUUAGUAACUACCAUAUAAAUAAAUAAAUACAAAAAAAACCUCACCAAAAUUUAUAAUAAGAUUCUUUUGGAAAUAUUUUGAAAGUGAA